UAAGAUGAGGUUUGCACCUACUUAUAUAUAAUGAAUGUACUCAUCUUUAGUCAAUGUAAAAUCUCUAACAUCUAUAUAAGCGAACAAAAGAAAUAAAAGUGGAUCCUAAAAAUAUAAUUAGAGCAUAUUGAGAUAACAUACUGCUAUGUUUCUCUGUUUCUCUUUGGGUAGGAAAAGUGGAUCCAAUUCACAAACUACGCAAGUGCAAAUUAAAGUUCCAAAGCCAAAUGGUCCCAGUGGCACUCCUUUGACCCACGUUGCAGCUUCCACUUUCUCAAAUGUUGGAUCUUCUGAUGUAUUUUCAUAUUAGGGAGGAGUUUCAAUUAGCACCACCUUAUGAUAUUGGGAGAGGGUUAUACCUUCUAGUUCAUGCACUGAACCAAGCAAAUUGGACAGCUGAACUUUGUACAACUGCAAUCAAAGUUUAGUUAAAAGAAGAGAAGUGAAAAUUUUAGAUGGCAAAAACUACAUAUACCACAUUGAACGCUAAAAGAAAAAUUAGAAACUAACCGAUCGAGAAAGAAGCUUCAACCCUCUAUAUCAUAAGUUUAUCCCCUCAGUCAAGAAGUUUUGUCCUAAUUCAGAAAAUAUAUAAGAAAAAACAACAACAAAGAAGUGUAGAAACUAACAUAGGUGUUGAAUUUGAGUAACUAGAAAUCAUAUACCUUUGGUACUUCCUUCAUUUGAUUUUAAGAUCAAUAUCCUCACUCUUAGAAAACAUAUAUUUUCAUCUUUUUUUUCUUCAUCUUUGCUUUUGUUUCUGC
rnacentral:lncRNA from 1 species